rnacentral:lncRNA from 1 species
GGGGAGCCUCGUUGAAAAGAGACUUCUGGGAAGCCGAGUGGCGUGGCGUGAGGUGCAAUUCCUCCUUUGCUAAUAUUUCCAGAGUCUUCAGUAAAGACCGACCCGUCUCUCUGAUCCUGUAGGUCAGACUUUGUUUCUUUUGGUGAGUAUCCUCACUGAGCAAGGCCCACAGGUCAGGCAGGGGCCAGGCUGUCAUGUCCAAAUGCAUUCAUGUGAGGGAUGGCCCACAGGAGCCUGGGUGUGGUGGAGGACUUUUCUCAUUCCGGGCCAGGAAGGUGCUCCUCACGCCAGGAGGGGCUUGGCCAGAAUAUUACAAGUUGAAAUUCAAGAAACUCCAAUGAUUAAAUGUACUAUAUUUAAAGUGGACCACUUCCUCUAAGUGCAGGUCACCAACUCCCUCAGCAAGCAGAGUUUUCUGGCUACAUAAAAAAAUAAUAUUUUUUUUCCCCUUGAUCAAGUUCAGAGAGCUGAGAGGAGCCACUUGGGGUGGAGCCUUACUCACAGCUCUUUGGAAAGAAAGGGGAAAAUAACCCAUCCCAAAUCCUCAACUGCCCCUCUCCUUUGGCUGAGCUGUAAAAGGGAAGGAGCUCUUAGUAGGAGUGACCGUAGCUUUCUCACUCUGCAAUUGUUGAGGGCUUGCUGGAUGCCAGACCAUUUCACUGACUGAUGCCAUCUGCCUCCUGGCUGAGGUGCUUCGGUGCUCAGCUCAGGGAUUUUGUUCUGUUUCACCGUCAAUCAGCUGCCAUCUGAAGAGAAGGCAGGAUCACGUGUCCAUCCCUGAAUAAAGC